GGAUGAACGCUAGCGGCAGGCUUAACACAUGCUAGUCGAGGGGCAGCGGGGAGGAAGCUUGCUUUCUCCGCCGGCGACCGGCGCACGGGUGAGUAACACGUAUGCAACCUGCCCCUGUCAGGGGGACAACCCGCCGAAAGGCGGGCUAAACCCGCGUACAUGCCACCGGGGCAUCCCGGAGGCAGGAAAGGCUUCGGCCGGACAGGGAUGGGCAUGCGGCGCAUUAGGCAGUAGGCGGGGUAACGGCCCACCUAACCGACGAUGCGUAGGGGUUCUGAGAGGAAGGUCCCCCACACUGGUACUGAGACACGGACCAGACUCCUACGGGAGGCAGCAGUGAGGAAUAUUGGUCAAUGGUCGGGAGACUGAACCAGCCAAGCCGCGUGAGGGAGGAAGGUACAGAGUAUCGUAAACCUCUUUUGUCAGGGAACAAAGGCGGGGACGUGUCCCCGGAUGAGUGUACCUGAAGAAAAAGCAUCGGCUAACUCCGUGCCAGCAGCCGCGGUAAUACGGAGGAUGCGAGCGUUAUCCGGAUUUAUUGGGUUUAAAGGGUGCGCAGGCGGUCUGUUAAGUCAGCGGUCAAAGCCCGGGGCUCAACCCCGGCCCGCCGUUGAAACUGGCAGUCUCGAGUUGGAGAGAAGUAUGCGGAAUGCGCGGUGUAGCGGUGAAAUGCAUAGAUAUCGCGCAGAACUCCGAUUGCGAAGGCAGCAUGCCGGCUCCACACUGACGCUGAGGCACGAAAGCGUGGGUAUCGAACAGGAUUAGAUACCCUGGUAGUCCACGCAGUAAACGAUGAAUGCUGGCUGUCCGGGGGGAUUGACCCCUGGGUGGCGAAGCGAAAGCGAUAAGCAUUCCACCUGGGGAGUACGCCGGCAACGGUGAAACUCAAAGGAAUUGACGGGGGCCCGCACAAGCGGAGGAACAUGUGGUUUAAUUCGAUGAUACGCGAGGAACCUUACCCGGGCUCAAACGGGGAGUGACUCAGGCAGAGACGCCUGUUUCCCACGGGACACUCCCCGAGGUGCUGCAUGGUUGUCGUCAGCUCGUGCCGUGAGGUGUCGGCUUAAGUGCCAUAACGAGCGCAACCCCCGCGUGCAGUUGCUAACAGAUAACGCUGAGGACUCUGCACGGACUGCCGGCGCAAGCCGCGAGGAAGGCGGGGAUGACGUCAAAUCAGCACGGCCCUUACGUCCGGGGCGACACACGUGUUACAAUGGGUGGUACAGCGGGAAGCCAGGCGGCGACGCCGAGCGGAACCCGAAAUCCACUCUCAGUUCGGAUCGGAGUCUGCAACCCGACUCCGUGAAGCUGGAUUCGCUAGUAAUCGCGCAUCAGCCAUGGCGCGGUGAAUAC
rnacentral:rRNA from 1 species